rnacentral:rRNA from 1 species
UACGGAGGGGGCUAGCGUUGUUCGGAAUUACUGGGCGUAAAGCGCACGUAGGCGGCUUUGUAAGUUAGAGGUGAAAGCCUGGUGCUCAACACCAGAACUGCCUUUAAGACUGCAUCGCUUGAAUCAUGGAGAGGCGGGUGGAAUUCCGAGUGUAGAGGUGAAAUUCGUAGAUAUUGGGAAGAACACCAGUGGCGAAGGCGGCUCUCUGGCCCGGACCUGACGCUGAGGCGCGAAAGCGUGGGGAGCAAACAGG